GUAGGUGAACCUGCGGAAGGAUCAUUACAAAUCAAAGGGGGUUUUUAGCCGCCGUGAGGUGGCUAGAGACUGUCCCACACUAGCACGAGGCCGCAAGGCCUUGAUGUUUACGCUUGUAUGUUUGACAGAGUUUAUUUGUGACACUAAUAAUGACAACUUUUAACAAUGGAUCUCUUGGCUCUUGCAUCGAUGAAGAACGCAGCAUCUGACUGACUCGACAGCUG
rnacentral:misc_RNA from 1 species